rnacentral:rRNA from 1 species
UAGCUGUUGGAAAGCUAUGCUUUUCAGUGGCGCAGCUAACGUUUUAAGUUGUCCGCCUGGGGAGUACGGCCGCAAGGUUAAAACUCAAAUGAAUUGACGGGGACCCGCACAAGCGGUGGAGCAUGUGGUUUAAUUCGAUGCAACGCGAAAAACCUUACCUACACUUGACAUACUUGGAAUCUUUUGUAAUGAAAGAGUGCCUUUUGGAGCCAAGAUACAGGUGCUGCAUGGCUGUCGUCAGCUCGUGUCGUGAGAUGUUGGGUUAAGUCCCAUAACGAGCGCAACCCUUACCCUUAUUUGCCAGCGAUUUGGUCGGGAACUAUAAGGGGACUGCCGGUGAUAAACCGGAGGAAGGUGAGGACGACGUCAAGUCAUCAUGGCCCUUACGUGUAGGGCUACACACGUGCUACAAUGGGGAGUACAGAUAGACGCUAAAGCGCGAGCCGGUGCUAAUCUCAUAAAACUCUUCGUAGUCCGGAUUGCAGUCUGCAACUCGACUGCAUGAAGUCGGAAUCGCUAGUAAUCGCGAAUCAGCAUGUCGCGGUGAAUACGUUCUCGGGUCUUGUACACACCGCCCGUCACACCAUGGGAGUGUAUUGCACCAGAAGUGGGUAGUCUAACCUUCGGGAGGGCGCUCACCACGGUGUGGUCCAUGACUGGGGUGAAGUCAUAACAAGGUAGCCGUA